UGUUUCGGCUAGGGGGCCAUCCCGGCUUACCAACCCGAUGCAAACUGCGAAUACCGGAGAAUGUUAUCACGGGAGACACACGGCGGGUGCUAACGUCCGUCGUGAAGAGGGAAACAACCCAGACCGCCAGCUAAGGUCCCAAAGUCAUGGUUAAGUGGGAAACGAUGUGGGAAGGCCCAGACAGCCAGGAUGUUGGCUUAGAAGCAGCCAUCAUUUAAAGAAAGCGUAAUAGCUCACUGGUCGAGUCGGCCUGCGCGGAAGAUGUAACGGGGCUAAACCAUGCACCGAAGCUGCGGCAGCGAACGUAUCACUUAAAGCGAUUCAGCGGGUUACGAUUGACGGAGCGAAGCGACGUCAAAGCGUAUACAAAGUCGAGUCGGUUUAAGGAUACGUUCGUUGGGUAGGGGAGCGUUCUGUAAGCCUGUGAAGGUGGCCUGUGAGGGUUGCUGGAGGUAUCAGAAGUGCGAAUGCUGACAUAAGUAACGAUAAAGCGGGUGAAAAGCCCGCUCGCCGGAAGACCAAGGGUUCCUGUCCAACGUUAAUCGGGGCAGGGUGAGUCGACCCCUAAGGCGAGGCCGAAAGGCGUAGUCGAUGGGAAACGGGUUAAUAUUCCCGUACUUGGUGUUACUGCGAAGGGGGGACGGAGAAGGCUAUGUUGGCCGGGCGACGGUUGUCCCGGUUUAAGCGUGUAGGUGUGUGUUCCAGGUAAAUCCGGUUCACUUUAACACUGAGGCGUGAUGACGAGGCACUACGGUGCUGAAGCAACAAAUGCCCUGCUUCCAGGAAAAGCCUCUAAGCAUCAGGUAACAUCAAAUCGUACCCCAAACCGACACAGGUGGUCAGGUAGAGAAUACCAAGGCGCUUGAGAGAACUCGGGUGAAGGAACUAGGCAAAAUGGUGCCGUAACUUCGGGAGAAGGCACGCUGACAUGUAGGUGAAGUGAUUUACUCAUGGAGCUGAAGUCAGUCGAAGAUACCAGCUGGCUGCAACUGUUUAUUAAAAACACAGCACUGUGCAAACACGAAAGUGGACGUAUACGGUGUGACGCCUGCCCGGUGCCGGAAGGUUAAUUGAUGGGGUCAGCGCAAGCGAAGCUCCUGAUCGAAGCCCCGGUAAACGGCGGCCGUAACUAUAACGGUCCUAAGGUAGCGAAAUUCCUUGUCGGGUAAGUUCCGACCUGCACGAAUGGCGUAAUGAUGGCCAGGCUGUCUCCACCCGAGACUCAGUGAAAUUGAACUCGCUGUGAAGAUGCAGUGUACCCGCGGCAAGACGGAAAGACCCCGUGAACCUUUACUAUAGCUUGACACUGAACAUUGAGCCUUGAUGUGUAGGAUAGGUGGGAGGCUUUGAAGCGUGGACGCCAGUCUGCGUGGAGCCGGCCUUGAAAUACCACCCUUUAAUGUUUGAUGUUCUAACGUGGACCCGUGAUCCGGGUUGCGGACAGUGUCUGGUGGGUAGUUUGACUGGGGCGGUCUCCUCCUAAAGAGUAACGGAGGAGCACGAAGGUUGGCUAAUCCUGGUCGGACAUCAGGAGGUUAGUGCAAUGGCAUAAGCCAGCUUGACUGCGAGCGUGACGGCGCGAGCAGGUGCGAAAGCAGGUCAUAGUGAUCCGGUGGUUCUGAAUGGAAGGGCCAUCGCUCAACGGAUAAAAGGUACUCCGGGGAUAACAGGCUGAUACCGCCCAAGAGUUCAUAUCGACGGCGGUGUUUGGCACCUCGAUGUCGGCUCAUCACAUCCUGGGGCUGAAGUAGGUCCCAAGGGUAUGGCUGUUCGCCAUUUAAAGUGGUACGCGAGCUGGGUUUAGAACGUCGUGAGACAGUUCGGUCCCUAUCUGCCGUGGGCGCUGGAGAACUGAGGGGGGCUGCUCCUAGUACGAGAGGACCGGAGUGGACGCAUCACUGGUGUUCGGGUUGUCAUGCCAAUGGCACUGCCCGGUAGCUAAAUGCGGAAGAGAUAAGUGCUGAAAGCAUCUAAGCACGAAACUUGCCCCGA
rnacentral:rRNA from 1 species